GCAGCCCACUUCCCAUAUAGGGGAAAACUGCAAACCUAUAGCUGCAGAAGUAGGAAUAAUGGCACCAGAAAUAAUAUUGUUUCCA